GGGCCCGCACAAGCGGAGGAACAUGUGGUUUAAUUCGAUGAUACGCGAGGAACCUUACCCGGGCUUGAAUUGCGUCUGAAUGUAUAUGAAAGUAUGCAGCCAGCAAUGGCAGGCGUGAAGGUGCUGCAUGGUUGUCGUCAGCUUGUGCCGUGAGGUGUCGGCUCAAGUGCCAUAACGAGCGCAACCCUUAUCCCCAGUUACCAUCAAUUAAAGUUGGGCACUCUGUGGAGACUGCCGUCGCAAGAUGUGAGGAAGGGGGGGAUGACGUCAAAUCAGCACGGCCCUUACGUCCGGGGCUACACACGUGUUACAAUGGGGGGUACAGCAGGCAGCUUUGCGGCGACGCAUGGCCAAUCCUCAAAAGCCCCUCCCAGUUCGGAUCGAAGUCUGCAACCCGACUUCGUGAAGCUGGAUUCGCUAGUAAUCGCGCAUCAGCCAUGGCG
rnacentral:rRNA from 1 species